GAUGAACGCUGGCGGCGUGCCUAAUACAUGCAAGUCGAGCGAACAGACGAGGAGCUUGCUCCUCUGACGUUAGCGGCGGACGGGUGAGUAACGCGUGGAUAACCUACCUAUAAGACUGGGAUAACUUCGGGAAACCGGAUCUAAUACCGGAUAAUAUAUUGAACCGCAUGGUUCAAUAGUGAAAUACGGUUUUGCUGUCACUUCUAGAUGGAUCCGCGCCGCAUUAGCUAGUUGGUAAGGUAACGGCUUACCAAGGCAACGAUGCGUAGCCGACCGGAGAGGGUGAUCGGCCACACUGGAACUGAGACACGGUCCAGACUCCUACGGGAGGCAGCAGUAGGGAAUCUUCCGCAAUGGGCGAAAGCCUGACGGAGCAACGCCGCGUGAGUGAUGAAGGUCUUCGGAUCGUAAAACUCUGUUAUUAGGGAAGAACAAAUGUGUAAGUAACUAUGCACGUCUUGACGGUACCUAAUCAGAAAGCCACGGCUAACUACGUG
rnacentral:rRNA from 1 species